rnacentral:lncRNA from 1 species
GGGCUUUUGGGUUCUAUCCCUGGAUUAUCUCUCUGACUUGGCUUCAGGAUGGGGAACCCCUAACCAGGACACACAGCAGUCUGGGAGUCUUUUACCAUAUGGGAAUGGGACCUACCAGACCUGCGUGUCCACCAGGAUUCCUCAAGGACAGGAGCAGAGAUUUUCCUGCCAUGUGCGACAUAGUGGGAAAGAGAGCACUGGCACUGUGCCCUGUGGUGAGCCUGGGUGUCCCAGCAGGGGUUCCCAACUGGGUAGGUCAGUGACCCGGGUGGUGAAAGGGAGGAAGUCUAGAGGCUCUGGAACCCAGAUGGUAACAUGUGUGUUUUCAGGGUCGACCCUGCUGCUUCAAAGCCGAUGGUGAGCCUCUCUAGGUGUGGUUGCUGCUGUUGAUGCAGUUCUUCUUCUUCUUCUCCUUUAUGUGCUUUGGAGCAACAGGAGGGAGACAAUUUCAGCUGCAGAGGGUUCAGCUCAGGAGCUCACAAGUCCUGAAUCAUCAGCAGAUGGUGAAGAGGAACCAUAACAGCACCUUGCAGCUUGCGUCAAGCUUCCAGGGUGAUGCUGUGGAGCACAUCUGCCCUGAAGAGUUGGAGCCCUAGUGUGAUGAACUGGAGAAUCACAUUGAUGGACAGGACAGGGUUGGAACUUUGAGGUGUCCUUAUGCUGAGCAAUAGGGGUCAGUUGGCCUAGGGGAAAAAAGUGACUGGCAGGUGCUUAUGGCCUGAGAUAUUGAGAGUAAGCGACCCAGAAUGUGUGUGAAUCAGACACCAGCAUCUGCCACCAUCAGUCCAGCUGAAGCAUGCAGAGUGGUGGGGAAGAAGACACUCCAUUUUGAAGAAUAUGACUUUUUAUCCCUAGGGACAUUUCUCUUCUCAGAGUUUCCAAAAUCAGAUUCAGAGUCUCUGUGAGAGAAGAAACACCAUACCAGCUACUUGGAAGGCUAGGGCAGGAAGAUCACAAUUUUGAAGCUAAGCUGGGCAAGUAGUGUAAUUCUGUCUCAAAAACCCAGGGAGAGGGCUGGGCUUGUGGCUCAGUGGUAGCGUGCUUGCCUAGCAUGCAAGAGGCACUGGGUUCGAUCCUCUGCACCAUAUAAAAAUAAAGACAAUAAAGUCCAUCA